rnacentral:rRNA from 1 species
GACAGAGGCCCCAAGCGUUAGGCGGAAUCACUGGGCUUAAAGCGUGUGUAGGCGGAUCGUUAAGUGUCUUGUGAAAUCCCACGGCUCACCCGUGGAGCUGCUGGGCAUACUGGCGAUCUUGGGCCAACUAGGGGCAGUCGGAACAAGCGGUGGAGCGGUGAAAUGCGUAGAUAUCGCUUGGAACGCCGAAGGUGAAAACAGACUGCUGGGGUUGCGCCGACGCUGAGACACGAAAGCCAGGGGAGCAAACGGG